CACGUAGGGCGCGAGCGUUGUCCGGAAUUAUUGGGCGUAAAGAGCUCGUAGGCGGCCUGUUGCGUCCGCUGUGAAAGCCCGGGGCUUAACCCCGGGUCUGCAGUGGAUACGGGCAGGCUAGAGGUAGGUAGGGGAGAAUGGAAUUCCCGGUGUAGCGGUGAAAUGCGCAGAUAUCGGGAGGAACACCAGUGGCGAAGGCGGCUACCUGGACCAGCACUGACACUGAGGCACGAAAGCGUGGGGAGCAAACAGG
rnacentral:rRNA from 1 species